rnacentral:rRNA from 1 species
AUUGAACGCUGGCGGCAGGCCUAACACAUGCAAGUUGAACGGAGUGGCGGACGGGUGAGAAAUGUCUGGGCAACUGCCUGAUGGAGGGGGAUAACGUCCGGAAACGGGCGCUAAUAACGCAUACUAUCAGAUGAGACUAGGUCGGAUUAGCUAGUUGGUGGGGUAAAGGCCUACCAAGGCGGCGAUCCGUUACUGGUCUGAGAGGAUGAUCAGUCACACUGGAACUGAUACACGGUCCAGACUGCUACGGGAGGCAGAAGUGGGGAAUAUUGGACGAUAGGCGGGAGCCUGAUCCAGCCAUGCCGCGUGUGUAGGGGAGGUCUUCGGAUUGUAAAGCACUUAAAGUUGGGAUGCGUUACCAACAGAAUGAGCACCGACUAACUUCGUGCCAGCAGGCGGGGUAAUAC